rnacentral:lncRNA from 1 species
ACUUUUGUGGUCCGCUUUCCUUGCUGAUGGAGAGGAAUAGUGUCACUCCCAUUUGACUCGGUAACCCGGCAGCUUCCUGUCUUAAACGCAGAGCUGGCGCGCAGGACACUCCUCCUGCAGACACUUAUUACACAAGUUCAUCUGCACCUCGUGCAAAGCAGCCCUGAAAGCUCAGGCUUGAAGACAAAAUGUGGAGCCCAGGCUCCUUCGAUUGAAAACCUCUCUACGAGGACACUCUCCGCAGUGGGCGGCCAGAAAGGAUUUCGGAUCAAGAUCCGCAGAGUGUUCCAGCUGCCUCCUGGAUGCCUCCACUGGAAGGCUGACGAGCACCUUCAAUUUCACGUGUUCACUUCAGAGCACCCCCGAUCCCGCUACCCCUGCUGCCCUGAUCUGCGCCUUCCCAGUUUCUCCCAGUCACCCAGCUGGCCACCCCCCAGGAGACAUCCCUGAUCCCUCAUUUUCUCUCUAGAGCCACCUCCUGUCCCUUAGCAAGGCCUGCUGGCUCUGCCUCCACGUCUUUUCCACAGCUCCCCCAUACUCCUGCGUCCUCCACCAGCCCCCAAGCCCUUUCCCCCUCCACCUGCAGGGUUGCAUGGCCUCCUAACCAGCUCUCCACCUCACACAUGUGCCCUGUGGUCCACCGCUCUCCCUACAACAGAGUAAGCUUCAGCUCAGACCUACCCUUGGUCAAAACCAGUGGUUUCCAUGUGCAUGAGAAUUAGACACAUCCUUACAAUGUCCUUCAAGGCACAAUGAAAUCCACCAGCCACCUCCCUCACCUGAGGUUCUAAGUCUAGUUUUGCCAGUUCUUGAGCCUCCAAGCCAUGGCCACCUCAGGGGAGCUCUUUUCCUUUGGUCCUGACUCUUUGUUCAUCUGGUACAUUCUUUCUCCAUAUCUUUGGGCACAGACUGUUCCCCAGAGAAGGGUCACAUGAUCUAAAAUGACUCCCUAAUCCAGGUGUGUUCCCCACAGCACUUAUGGCUACUUGCAGUUGUAAAGGUGUUGGUGCGUUUAUUAUUGGUCUCUCAUCUAGAACAUACCUUCCAGAGGGCAGGGCCUCGUCUUCCUGGCUGUACCCCCAGUCCUGCUAAAGGGACUGGCACACAGUAACAUGAAGCCAGUGCUCCCAGACUUUUUGGUCACAGGACUGCUUUAUGCUCUUAGAAAUUUACUGAGCCCCCCAAAGAGCUUUUGUAUAUAGCAACGGAUAGAUUUAGAUGUCUAUCCGGUGAUUUGCGCAGUAUGAUGAAAUGGUAAUGUUUUAAAUAUAUUGAUUAAUUGAUUCAUUUACAAUGACAAUAAAAACCCACUUCAUGUUUACUUAACAUAUUUUAAUGAACACUUAUUCUAUUCCCCCAAACAAAAAAAAAUUAGUCUGGAGAGUGGUGUACAUGUUUGCACCCCUCUUUAAUAUCUGGCUUAAUAGAAGAUAGUUGGAUUCUCAUUUUUGUUUGUGCAAUCCAUUAUUUUGGUUCAAGUAUAUGAAGAAAAUGCAACCUGUCACAGAUAUGCAGUUGAAAACUGGAGGAGUAUUUUAUUAGCCUUGGCAGAUAAUUGUGAACAUUUUUCCUUGAUAUUACCCCCAAAUUCAACAAAUGGUGGUUUCUUAAAGGUUGGUUGCAAUGUGGAAUCUGAAACCAUGUCAAUGAACAUUUCAUACUCUAUUACAUUAAAAUCCAUUUAUCUGUCUUGCACUUUGAAUGGCUCUUUUGCCCACAAAAUAUUUCCUUCCUUCCUUCCUUCCUCCUCCCUCCCUCCCUCCCUCCCUCCCUCCCUCCCUCCCUCCCUCCUUCCCCUUUUCCUUCCCCUUCCCCUUCCCUUCCCUUCCCUUUCUUUUUGACAGAGUCUCUCUCUGUCACCCAGGCUAGAGUGCAGUGAUACAAUCUCUGCUCACUGCAACCUUGCUUCCUGGGUUCAAGUGAUUCUCCUGCCUCAGCCUCCCCAGAAGCUGGGAUUACAGGUGCAUGCCACCACACCCAGUUAAUUUUUUGUAUUUUUAGUAGAGAUGGGGUUUCACCAUGUUGGCCAGGCUGGUUUCAAACUCCUGACCUCAAGUAACCCACCUGCCUCAGCCUGCAAAAUAUUUCAUGCCACUGUAUAUUGGUCAUUUGGAAAAUAUUGGUUCACUGAGUUAUGCAGGUCUUCCAAAUGUCGAACUAUUUCCUUAAACAGUAUCACAAAAUCACAUUUGUUAAUAUCACCACUAAUCUUAUUGGAAAACUCUUUAAAUUUGGGAGGUUGUCUGACUCAUGAUGUUGGAUACAAGUUUUCAAGAAUUUUAAUUUUCACUUAAAAACUCACAUUUUACCUUUAGUGGUAAAUACUACUUUCCUCAACACGACAGGGUAGUUUCAUUUAUUUUUGCAAAGGUGUCUGUCAAAGACCUAAGUCUCAAUAACCAUGAUUUGUCUGUUGGGUGCCGUUCCAUGUAAAAUGAGGCUCCAUGAAAAAGCGGGCUCAGUCAGCUCAUGGCUGUAGCCCGCCCGUCCUUUUCCUCGAUGGCCGCUGUUCUUCUGUAUGACAGCUCCCCCUUUCUUCACCCAGAAUAUUGAAAAGACAUGUGCUCCAGAGCUGAGCUUUAAUAAAACUAUUUUUUUUUCACUGUUUCUUCAAGAACAUUCUUAAGUAAAACCUGCAUUUGAAAAAAAAAAAAAAACCUGUGAGUGUGUGGCUGUGAAGAGCACAAUGUCUGCUACCAAUGGCCAAUAACAACCUUUAAUGGCCUUCAUCCAUGUGGAGCUGGACUCACUGGUUUAACGGCCUUCAUCCAUGUGGAGCUGGACUCACUGGUUUAACGGCCUUCAUCCAUGUGGAGCUGGGCUCACUGGUUUAACGGCCUUCAUCCCUGUGGAGCUGGGCUCACUGGUUCAACGGCCUUCAUCCACGUGGAGCUGGGCUCACUGGUUUAACGGCCUUCAUCCCUGUGGAGCUGGACUCACUGGUUCAACGGCCUUCAUCCAUGUGGAGCUGGACUCACUGGUUUAAUGGACUUCAUCCAUGUGGAGCUGGACUCACUGGUUUAACGGCCUUCAUCCAUGUGGAGUUGGACUCAGUGGUUUAACGGCCUUCAUCCAUGUGGAGCUAGACUCACUUUUUUUUUUUUUUUUUGCACAUCAAUGCUGAUGUCUACAUGCAACAAAGCUACAUAAUGACUCACAGUGUAACUGUAAAAAAAAGUUUGGAGGUUGUCUUAGGGAACCCCAGGAUCUGCACUAAAUGAGAUUUCAUAAAUGAAUGAAUGACUUUUCCUACACAAUCACGUAUGGUGGAUCCUAGAUGUCCACAGUUUCUCAUCUAAAGCUCUGGGCCACAGACACGUUUCAGAAUUUCUUUGAUUUUGGACAGGUCAGGUGGUGCACAUAUCAUGUGCCACCUAACCCCGUGGGGUGUGAGCAGGGCCCUAUCUAACACAGUCAUAGUUCUGUGGUAAAUACAGGAAAAGCUGAACCAGCAGGUAACAGCCACAAGGAGCCUAUGUCUGUUCAAGUCAGGUUCUGCUGUCCAAGGAGUUAGGAAGACACCCUCCCAUUUUGAAAGCAUUUGGAUUUUGGAGUUGUAGACCAGGGGUUGUGGGCCUAUCUCCUGAUCUCCACUCCACAAGGGUACCUCGGGGAACAGACGGCCAAGGUCUCCUGGCGGGUGAAGGAGCUGGGAAUGGAGCACCCAGGGCCUGUUGAGCUUCCACUCUGUCAUCUCCCCUCCCCUCCCCGCCCCGUGACCUCAACCACAUGGCCCUCCUAACACGAAGGCUUCCAAGGCCUUUCCUGCCCGGCCCUGGGAUUCCUUUCCCCUUCUCCAGCCUUGUGUCCUCCACACACUCUGAACUGUGGCCAUGCAGGGCCACUCUGCGUGGUCCUCUGAUAUUCCAGCAUAAUCUCUCUGAUCAUUCUGGACUCUGGGCCUUGUCUCUCUAGGGCUAUAGCACCUAUUGGUGCCUCUCAGCUUACCUGACCUCCCUGGGAUACACUUCUUUUUUAAUUUAGUUUUUAAUAUUUAUGGGUACAUAGUAGGUGUAUAUAUUUGUGGGGUGUGAGACGUUUUGAUUCAGGAACAUGUGCAGUAAUUACAUCAUGGAAGAUAAGAGUAUCUAUUCCUUCAAGCAUUUACCCUCUGUGUUACCAACAAUCCAAUUAUACCCUUUUAGUUAUUCUUAAAUGUACAAUGAAAUUAUUAUUGACUAUAGUCACUCCUUUGUGCUAUCAAAUAGUAGAUCUUAUUCAUUCUUUCUAAUGACUUUUUUGUACCCAUUAGCUAUCUCCACUUCCCUAUUGCUGAAGGACCACUUUGGAUUCCUGAACUCCCAAGGGACUUUCCAGCUUUUGGACUUUCGUUUUUCCAGUAUCACUUAUGAGGACCCAAGUUCUACCAGGGCUUCUCCUACAUUGAAAAUGAUUAUAUCUAAGAUUCAAACAGAAAUUUUGUGUCUUGGCAAAUUUGAUAUCUGGAGGGUGAAUAUUAUUUAGAAAACAACCACCUUCUACUUUCUGCUUCUAUGAAUUUGAUGAUUCUAGGAGCCUCAUGCGAGUGGCAUCUUGUAUUAUAGUAUUUGUCUUUUUGUGUCUGGCUUGUUUCACUCAGCAUAAUAUGCUCAAGGUUCAGCUGCGCUGUGGCCUGUGUCGGGCUUUCCUUCCUUUCUAAGGCUACUAUUCCACUGUGUGUAUGUAGGCAACACUUGCACACCACAUUUUCCGUACCCAUCCAUCCCUCUGUGAACACUUGGGAGGGAUUGGGGACUGCAUGGCCCCCAGCCAUAGGUGUGCUGAGCACGUAAGAUGUACCCAGUGUGGCUGAAGAGUGGAAUUUUUAAUUUUAAUUAACAUAAAUGUAGAUUUACAAAUAGAUUUUCAAUUCAGCUCCUGGGAAACCCCCAAAGAUGUCUGAAAUAACUUGGGCGUGUGACGCUACCUUUUUACCUGCAAGCUUAAUGAACCCUAAAUGCAGGUCAAGUAUUUGCCAUGGAAAUGCAAUGCCCAAGCUGAGAUAUGCUAGAGGUGUAAAAUGCAUGCUGGAAUUGGAAGACCUAGUACCAAAAAAAAAAAUUGGAUGUAAAAUGUCUUGUUAAUUUGUAUAUUGAUUACUUUUGAAAUAAUAAUAUUUUGGAUAUAUUAGGUCAACUAAAAUAUUACUUAAAUUAACUGCACCUGUCUCUGGUGUUCAUGUGGCUGCUAAAAAGAUUAAAAUUGC